rnacentral:rRNA from 1 species
CCCUACGGGGCGCAGCAGGCGCGAAAACUGCACAAUGUGGGAAACCACGAUGCGGGAAACCCAAGUGCCAGCGCUAUGUGUUGGCUGUCCUCCAGUGUUCGUAACUGGGGAAGAAAGUGCUGGGUAAGACGGGUGCCAGCCGCCGCGGUAAUACCCGCAGCACAAGUGGUGGUCAUUAUUAUUGGGCCUAAAGCGUCCGUAGCUGGCUUGUUAGAUGCCUGGGUAAAUCGAUGCGCUCAACGCAUCGAACUCCGGGUAGACCGGCA